UACGAACUGUGCGAACGUUAUUCGGAAUCACUGGGCUUACAGGGUGCGUAGGCGGCUUGUUAAGUAGGGUGUGGAAGCCCCCGGCUCAACCGGGGAAUGGCGCCCUAAACUGGCGAGCUGGAGUGAGAUAGGGGUGUGUGGAACUUCCGGUGGAGCGGUGAAAUGUGUUGAUAUCGGAAGGAACGCCGGUGGCGAAAGCGACACACUGGAUCUUGUCUGACGCUGAGGCACGAAAAGCCAGGGGGAGCGAACGGGG
rnacentral:rRNA from 1 species